rnacentral:lncRNA from 1 species
AUUUCAUACGUGCAAAAGUUCUACAGCAAUAAAAAUAUUUUCAUAACUGGAGGCACUGGAUUUUUAGGAAUUGCUAUAGUUGAAAAAAUUUUACGCUCGUGUCCUGAUCAAAAUUGAUGAAACGCAUCGCAGCGUGCAAGAUUGUCAAAAGUCAGCCAUCUUGGGAGCAAAACAGAAAGUUCAGUUUCAGUUGUAGCCGCAUCAAAACAAUGAAGUCUCGCCUCCGGUGUCGUUUUUUCACCAAUGUGUGCCCAUCUGCAAAUUCAAAUUUUAUCAAGGUGGCGAACAAAAGAAUCCCGGCGCGCAGAUUAAAACAGUUUGGCUGAGGACAAAAAUUAAGACAAUACAAUCCGGAACCGAUCCGGACCGUCAGCGUCGCAAUCUGCAACACCGGGGGCAAACAUGAGAAGGAAAAACAAAACUCGGAUUAGAACCUCGCAGAAAAUUCAACGAGAUUCAGGUGCAAAGAAGAUAAUGCGACCCAGGGGCGCCGACUCAGAUGGCUCGCGCUUGGGGCUCAAGCACUCUGCUUGUUUGUUUGGGGGGAGUGCAAGUUAUUGGCCGAGAAGAAAUGAGUCGAAGUGGAGAAAAAAAUCGGGUCCCUGCAAGUGUCUCUAAGAUUUGUUAAAGUCAAAUGAUGGCAGUGAAGGUUAGUUUCUGGUGUCGGAGAUCGAAUCAGUGAGAAAAAGUGAAAUUGCCCCUGAAAAAUAGUAUGUAAAACAAACAAAACGAAAAAAUAAACAGAAGAAAUAAAA